rnacentral:rRNA from 1 species
UACGUAGGGUGCAAGCGUUAAUCGGAAUUACUGGGCGUAAAGCGUGCGCAGGCGGUUUUGUAAGUCUGUCGUGAAAUCCCCGGGCUCAACCUGGGAAUUGCAUCUGUGACUGCAUAGCUAGAGUACGGUAGAGGGGGAUGGAAUUCCGCGUGUAGCAGUGAAAUGCGUAGAUAUGCGGAGGAACACCGAUGGCGAAGGCAAUCCCCUGGACCUGUACUGACGCUCAUGCACGAAAGCGUGGGGAGCAAACAGG